rnacentral:rRNA from 1 species
GAUAAACGCUAGCGGCAGGCUUAACACAUGCAAGUCGAGGGGCAGCAUAGAUUGUAGGAAUACAAUUGGUGGCGACCGGCGCACGGGUGCGUAACGCGUAUGCAACCUACCCGUCACAGGGGGAUAAUCCGGAGAAAUCUGGUCUAAUACCCCAUAACAUAUGGAUCGGCAUCGGUUCAUGUUGAAAUUUUCGGAGGUGACGGAUGGGCAUGCGUAGCAUUAGCUUGUUGGUGAGGUAACGGCUCACCAAGGCGACGAUGCUUAGGGGGACUGGGAGGUUUUCCCCCCACACUGAUACUGAGACACGGACCAGACUCCUACGGGAGGCAGCAGUGAGGAAUAUCGGUCAAUGGGCGCAAGCCUGAACCAGCCAUGCCGCGUGCAGGAUGACGGCUCUAUGAGUUGUAAACUGCUUUUGUACGAGGGUAAAGUGGGUUACGUGUAACCUUUUGAAAGUAUCGUACGAAUAAGGAUCGGCUAACUCCGUGCCAGCCGCCGCGGUAA